rnacentral:rRNA from 1 species
CUCGCGAAAGCGGGAUUAAUACCAGAUGCGCCGGCCGGGCCGCAUGGCCCGGCCGGGAAAGCCCAGGCGGCGCGGGAUGGGGUCGCGGCCCAUCAGGUAGUAGGUCGGGUGGAGGCCGACCUAGCCGACGACGGGUAGCCGGGUUGAGAGACCGACCGGCCACAUUGGGACUGAGAUACGGCCCAGACUCCUACGGGAGGCAGCAGUGGGGAAUAUUUUAAAGGGGGGGCAACCCUGACGCAGCAACGCCGCGUG